GAAAAAUCACUGUGUAGCCAGGCACAUUUUACGUGUCUUGCACUCGACUAGAGAACAUAACCGCAAUUUUUACAACGUCCUCUUAGUAUUCCAUCCCGAUAUUGCAAUUGCAUUUGAUUUAUCUAAAUUAGUUGAAGGUUUUGAUGAGUCGGAAUUCAAUGAUGUAUUCACUUUUGUCGAUGUGCUGAAUGUCAAAGCUAAAACAAAUUUUUGUCAAAGCAUCAAUUUAUUUUUGCGAGCCUUAUUUCGAUCGAGGGAACCAUCUGUUGAUUGUUGGUUUAGGAUAUAUGAAACUAUUUUGGAGAUUAUUAAACUCAAUGGAGAUGUGGCAUAUGAUUUUCUAAUGACGUAUGUAUUUAAAUUGACGGAAGAAGUGAAUCAACAAAAUUCAAGUUGAGCUGCUUCGAGGUCUGCCGAGUUUUGCAGUUUCAAAGACAUGUCCGGGAACCAAUGGAAACUUUUCUAACGGAAACAUUAUAUUCAUAGACAACACCUGGACAUCAAAUUUUCCACCUCCAUGAUUUGGACCCAUACACAAAUAGUUCCAAAUGUGUCGUAUUCUGUGGUCAUCCGAGUUUGAGAUUUGGCGAUGCGGUCCACUUUAUUGAAAUAACCUGACUUCCCAUAUCUUCAAGUGCUGGCUCCUUUCCAACCCUUGUCCAUGAAGGCAUUCUAUUGUCCAAUCGAUACGUCACUGAACUAUCAACAAGCAAACAAGCUGAUUAAGGAACUAAAACCUAGUGUCUUAGUUAUUCCUGAAAACUAUACAAAACUGCAUCCAAUUGCUCCACAACUUUAUAUUGAACAACCGGUAAUACUCAUAUUGAAAGGUCAUAUAAAUUGUUCUAAUUGCUUCAUUUUUGG